GACGAACGCUGGCGGCGUGCUUAACACAUGCAAGUCGAGCGGUAAGGCCUCUUCGGGGGUACACGAGCGGCGAACGGGUGAGUAACACGUGGGUGACCUGCCCUCAGCUCUGGGAUAAGCCUGGGAAACUGGGUCUAAUACCGGAUAUGACCUUUCCUCGCAUGGGGUCUGGUGGAAAGUUUUUUCGGCUGGGGAUGGGCCCGCGGCCUAUCAGCUUGUUGGUGGGGUGAUGGCCUACCAAGGCGACGACGGGUAGCCGGCCUGAGAGGGCGACCGGCCACACUGGGACUGAGACACGGCCCGGACUCCUACGGGAGGCAGCAGUGGGGAAUAGUGCGCAAUGGGCGGAAGCCUGACGCAGCGACGCCGCGUGGGGGAUGACGGCCUUCGGGUUGUAAACCUCUUUCGACCCCGACGAAUUUGGACGGUAGGGGUAGAAGAAGCACCGGCCAACUACGUG
rnacentral:rRNA from 1 species